UACGUAGGCAGCAAGCGUUGUUCGGAGUUACUGGGCGUAAAGGGCCAGUAGGCGGCCAACUAAGUCACACGUGAAAUCCCCAGGCUUAACCUGGGAACUGCGUGUGAUACUGGAUGGCUUGAAUUCGGGAGAGGGAUGCAGAAUUCCAGGUGUAGCGGUGAAAUGCGUAGAUAUCUGGAGGAAUACCGGUGGCGAAGGCGGCAUCCUGGACCGACAUUGACGCUGAACGGCGAAAGCUAGGGGAGCAAACGGG
rnacentral:rRNA from 1 species